AGUGAACGCUGGCGGCGUGCUUAACACAUGCAAGUCGAACGAGAACGGGUUAUAGCUUGCUAUAAUUGUCAGCUAAGUGGCGCACGGGUGAGUAAUGUAUAGGUAAUAUGCCUCUUACUAAGGGAUAACAAAUGGAAACGUUUGCUAAUACCUUAUACUCCUUAUUAACAGAAGUUAAUAAGGGAAAGAUUUAUUGGUAAGAGAUUAGCCUGUAUUGUAUCAGUUAGUUGGUGGGGUAAUGGCUUACCAAGACUAUGACACAUAACUGGUUUGAGAGGAUGAUCAGUCACACUGGAACUGAGACACGGUCCAGACUCCUACGGGAGGCAGCAGUGGGGAAUAUUGCACAAUGGACGAAAGUCUGAUGCAGCAACGCCGCGUGGAGGAUGACACAUUUCGGUGCGUAAACUCCUUUUGUAUGAGAAGAUAAUGACGGUAUUAUAUGAAUAAGCACCGGCUAACUCUGUGCCAGCAGCCGCGGUAACAC
rnacentral:rRNA from 1 species